CGCCAGACUCCUACGGGAGGCAGCAGUGGGGAAUAUUGCACAAUGGGGGAAACCCUGAUGCAGCGACGCCGCGUGAGCGAUGAAGUAUUUCGGUAUGUAAAGCUCUAUCAGCAGGGAAGAAGAUGACGGUACCUGACUAAGAAGCCCCGGCUAACUACGUGCCAGCAGCCGCGGUAAUACGUAGGGGGCAAGCGUUAUCCGGAUUUACUGGGUGUAAAGGGAGCGUAGACGGUCCUGCAAGCCAGAUGUGAAAGCCCGGGGCUCAACCCCGGGACUGCAUUUGGAACUGUAAGGCUAGAGUGUCGGAGAGGCAGGCGGAAUUCCUAGUGUAGCGGUGAAAUGCGUAGAUAUUAGGAGGAACACCAGUGGCGAAGGCGGCUUACUGGACUGUAACUGACGUUGAGGCUCGAAAGCGUGGGGAGCAAACAGGAUUAGAUACCCCAGUAC
rnacentral:rRNA from 1 species